rnacentral:misc_RNA from 1 species
GAGAUGGAGUAAUUUAUACUGGGUACAUAUUUUUCUUCAUUCUGCGUAUUAUAAUGAAAUAUAAUAGAUAACCGCCAUUACUUUUCUUUUUUUUUCCCCCUUCUUUAAGUGAAACACCAUUUCUAAUUCCUUCAUAAGAAAUUUAAAAAUUGUGAAGAACCUUUUUAGGCUAAUCCUUACCAAAUAACUCCUGGUUUACUGUAACACAUGAUUAUACUUAAUUAGGCAUUUUAGUGUUAAUUUCAUGGUCUCUUGAGUCUUGAUGUUGCAUUUGUUUUUCAUUUGAUCUUUUGAGUGAAAUACUUUCAAACUUGGGCUGGACAAAGCCUGAAUAACUACACAAAUUUCUCUAUGGGUUUAAAUUCUUUUCAAACUUUAAUUAUCUUUCCAGGACAUCUUAAAUUUGUACUCAGACAGUCAAGAAUUACUAUGGCUCAACCGUACUUUAGCCAUAUUUGUUAUAUCUUUUUCUCUACUUUGGCAGCUCCCAAGAUUGUACCAUCAAAG